UUGCUCAGAGAUUUAAAGACAUUACUUAUCCCUGUCUGAAGGCCAAGGAAGAAAGGCACCAUCUGCCAGAGAGGACCAGACAGGAGUCUGAAGUGUGCUUUCUUCUCAUUUGACAUGACCUUCAGAAAAAUCACAGAGGACAUUCUAAACAUCUGCUAUCCUGAUUGCAGCUUGUCUGGCUUGAAAAGUCAUCUUGAGGCUCCUGUGGGCCUUCAACGGUCCGUCGGUGUCAGUCGGUCGUCUGGAGGAAUCGUCUCAUAACUGGGGCCUGCCUGUGUUUUGUGAGCUCUGUCCACAGAGUUCUGCCAAGCAGGAGAAGAGUCCAGGGGUCACGGAAACCCUUAAGGAAAGCCGUUUGCACAGAAGAUGAGCAUUUUCUGUGAGUCAUGAGUACUGGAGGUGAGGAAGAUGUGAGCCACACACCAAAAGAAAGGUGCCCUGAGUCGGGCACCAUCUUUGUGCCGAAAGAGAAGAGACAUACCCACCAGAGCCAAGACAGAGCCGCUACACUCUGUCCUUGAAGGGACAGCCAGAUGACUGCUCCCUAAAACCACACCCACUCUGUGCCUCCUUGACCUGUGCUGCUUUCUUUAUCUUACUGAAGUGUGCCCAGUGAAGGCAGGCUGAUGCUCUGGGUCAGCAGGAAUGGGACACUCCAGCUACCGUGGAUCUCCUACCCAAGGACCUGAUUGGCUGACUUCACCUGAAAGCCACUGCUCUGGUUCUCUCACCCUCCCGAGGACCAGAUCUCAGAUCCUCACACCCCUGUCACAUGCCCAGCUUUCCUGCCAACUCCUGCAAACCCAACUGUGGAGGGAUGGAGACAGGAGGAUAUCUGGGACUUGCCUGCUGUUAGCCUUGUGGAGUUGUGAAACCAGAGCUCAGGAAGAAACCCUGCCCUAAGGGACUCUGCAGAGGGACAGAGGAGGGUAUUUUUUACCCUCCUUAGGAUCUGUGAGCGACCAGGUCAGCCCAGGGUACACACAAGAAGUCUAGUAAAGGAAGUGAGAAAAGCCCAUGGCUCGGUAACCCCACAGGAGCAGUCCUUCCCCUCCACCCUCAUAUGUCUCUUUUUGUUCUUGAGUGAGCAAGAAAAGCAUCAAGUUCUUCUCCCUGGAGCUUCAGUCCUAGGUUAGAAUUCCUAAGCUGACAAAUCUGGGCCUGUGAUCUGAAAGUCACUCUGUGCCCAUUUGCCCAGCUGGACCACCAACUCCUCACAUCAGUUUUGAGACUUGAAGGUUCCCGCACACACACAUGUACUCUCCAGGAUCCUCACAGUUAAAUUCCUCUGUGCUCCCUGUAAGCUAAAUGUUCACUGAUCCUCCUUUUUCCUAGGAUAGUCCUCCCUGGAGUUCACCUGAUCUCCCAGGUGCCUUAGUAUUUAUCCAGAGUUUCUUUUGUGUUCCUAAAGUGCUAGUUUAAAAUACAUGUUUGCAAAACUGAACACACUAUCAUACAUACACUAUGUGUUAGAACUGCAGAAAGCAGUCUCAAACCUUAGGCAAUGCGGGUGUCAUGUUCUUGUCAUGACCUGGUCCUCCAUAAAUUUAGAAGCCCCUAGAGCCUCCUGUAGUCAUUGGGACUGCUUUCUGUGGUAUACCUGUGUCCUGAGGCUCCCACCAAGCCUGUAGACAUGAUUAUCUUUUGAGUCUGAUUGUCUGCUCCUGUGGUGCGUUUUAGAGUGGAGGUGUUGAGCAUACCUUUCAAGCUCUACACAGCAUCAUGUGCAGCCUCUUCCUGUGAUGCUUUCACUCAGCCUUCUAGCUCUUGACUCUGCAUUUUUUCCUGAUAGAGCUCACUUGACUUUUGACAGAUUGCCCAGCAUCCAAAGGUAGAGUCAGUCUGCCCAAGGUAGAGUCAGGGGUCUUGUCUUGUUAUCCUUUUGACAGAGGACAGGAAGAAGGGCCAGCCUAUUUGAGUUCACACAGUGCAAUCUCUUUCCUUCAUUGGGCUCAGGGGACCUUUUGACUGUGUGCAAGGGCUGGGCUAAACAGUAGAAGCUUGUGGGUCUCAACUCUCAGUUGCAUAUUGAAAUGGUCUGGAACCUCGGUCUUUUCUCCCUCUUUACUUUAAAUUUCAGAUUCAUGUGUCCACAUAUCUGCAAUGUAUUUUCUAAUUUUGUCAUACAUGUAUG